GGGCACUCCCCUCCCCCUUUUUCCCCGUCUUUGGGGUCUUUGGGGCCGCUUUUUCAUAAGCACCUUGAGGAACUCGAAUUGUGAGACUGAGCCUGGGGCUUGUGUUGCCUUUAGAGGUGAUGCAGCCCGAGUCGAAAACCAAAGUAACGACUCUCAGCAACGGAUAUCUUGGCUCUUGCAACGAUGAAGAACGCAGCGAAAUGCGAUACCUAGUGUGAAUUGCAGAAUUCCGCGAAUCAUCGAGUCUUUGAACGCAAGUUGCGCCCGAGGCUUGUCCCGAGGGCAUGCCUGCCUGAGCGUCACCGCACUCCCACCUAGACACUCUCUAGUGUGGAAUUGGCCGUCCGGGAUCCGGCAUGAAGCUUUGGGUCGCGGUGGGCUGAAAUGUAGCUAUCUGGACGCAGCCAAAGGGAGUGGCCGCGAGAAGGUGAUCUGCUCUUUUUGGGGCGGAGUCUAAUUGGACAGCGCCUCUUGCUUUGGUGGUCCGGACAGCGGCACGGAAUGUGUCCCUGGGGAAUGCAAGUAAUGUUGCAGCUCCCCUCCCUUACAG
rnacentral:rRNA from 1 species